rnacentral:lncRNA from 1 species
GUCUUUAAAAUAAACUAAAUUGCAAUGUAUCACAUAUCAUAAAAUUUAAUAAUACAAGAACUACAAUUUUGUUUUCAGUAACCUGGGUGAAAAACCAUGCCGGCAAAGUCUUGGCGAUCAUUGACGGAUACACGUUUUACAAUCACAACAACAGUCGGAGUUCGAAGACGUUUAUAUGCACAAACGUCGUGAGUUGGGUGAGGAGUUCUGGCAAGUUACUGGCGCUAGUACAGGAUUAUACUUACUAUUGCAGCAUGACGAAACUCGACCUACUGUACUGGCGUUGCACUAAGGGAAUUUCCUGCAGAUCUCACUUUACUUCCAACAGGGCAAAGCGCAUAUUCAAAUUCAACUUCAUUCACAACCAUCCACCACCCAGCUUUGUCAUCAGAAAUGGUGUUUGCAUGAAAAUGUAAUGGAAUAUCAUGAGGAACGGGAAAUAGUUUUCUACACGCGUGUUCGUCAAAGUGGGUUUAUGUUUAAAUCUGGUUAAUGUUCAUUUUACUGUGUAUUUAAGUAGUGUAACUGUAUACUGUUCUAAACGUAAUAUAAUGAAGCUUUGUGUCAUAAAACCCUUAUAAAAAAACAAAAAUAUGUGACAUAAGUGCGUAUCUUUAGAUUGCUUUUCAACCAAAUGUGCUUGCGAACCUAAAAAUGUAUGUCAAACUCAGUUAAAAUUCGCUUGAUAUUCAUAGUAAAGAUUAUCAUCGCUGUGAUGGAAAGGCAGCUAAUUGAGUACUUAGCAAAUGUAUCGUGCUAUUUUUUUUGAAAAUAUACGUUAGACGUUAGUGCUCUGUCAGUCAAAUAUGCUUUAUAAGUUAGAAUAUUCAUAAUACUUUCAUUAAUUUAUUGAAAAUAUAUGUUAGACGUAAGUGCUCUGUCGGACAAAUAUGCUUUAUAAGUUAGAAUAUUCAUAAUACUUUCAUUAUUUUAUUGAAAAUAUAUGUUAGACGUAAGUGCUCUGUCGGACAAAUAUCCUUAAUUAGUUAGAAUAUGCAUAAUACUUUCAUUAAUUUAUUGAAAAUAUAUGUUAGACGUAAGUGCUGUGUCGGAAAAAUAUCCUUAAUAAGUUAGAAUAUGCAUAAUACUUGCAUUAAUUUAUUGAAAAUAUAUGUUAGACGUAAGUGCUCUGUCAGUCAAAUAUGCUUUAUAAGUUAGAAUAUUCAUAAUACUUUCAUUAAUUUAUUGAAAAUAUAUGUUAGACGUAAGUGCUCUGUCGGACAAAUAUCCUUAAUAAGUUAGAAUAUGCAUAAUACUUGCAUUAAUUUAUUGAAAAUAUAUGUUAGACGUAAGUGCUCUGUCGGACAAAUAUCUUUAAUAAGUUAGAAUAUGCAUAAUACUUGCAUUAAUUUAUUGAAAAUAUUUAUUAGACGUAAGUGCUCUGUCAUACAAAUAUGCUUUAUAAGUUAGAAUAUUCAUAAUACGAGUAGUUUUGUGCAAUAUUAGUUAUCCAAUUAAAGAUAAUCAUAAUUUGAUAUUGUUUAAAUUAGCAUUGAUGUAUAAUCAAAUCUUUUCUCAAUAGAUAUAUUUUAAUCAAUUACUCAUAUUAAAAGGAAAGUUAACAUUAUAAUCCAUGUAUUACUCAUAAUAGAAAAAAAAACGUACGUAGAUACUCGUUGUAAGACAUUAGUAAUCGUUUUAUUUAGCAUUCAGGGUCUCCUAAUGCAAUGCUUGUUAAAAUGGAACGAUAAACCAUAAGGGACAAAUCGGCCGCCCAAUGCCGCUUUGGCAUAGCUAGUUCAAUCCUAAGGGAUCCUCUUAUGUUAAGGGUAGACUGGUGAAUAAUAUAAUAAUAUCAGCCCUGUUUUAUAUACUGUCCUACUGCUGGGCACGGGCCUCUCUUACUACUGAGAGGGAUUAAGCCUUAGUCCACCACGCUGGCCUAGUGCGGAUUGGUAGACUUCACACACCCUCAAAGAUUGGUGAAACCAGGCAUAAAUGUCGCGAUGAAGAUUUAUUUGUACUAGCAUCUCAAUUUCAUAAAAUAUAGCUUGCAGAUUAGCUGCUAAUCAUAAUUUGAUUCUAUAUAAAUUCUACAUAAAGGAAAGCAGACAGAAAUGGAGUUAUAUGUACCUUUCACCACUAAUGUACUCAUUAUAUAAUAUUUGAAUUAUCGUAUAUACAUUCCAUUGUGUUGUAGACAUUAAAUAAAUAAAACGUAUAUUUUUUUCUUUUCCCCAUAACCUACGUCUUUAACACAUUUGAUUUCUAAACUUAUAUGUUUUUCAUUAAGUCUAUAUGUUGUAAUCAAGUAUAUAUUAUAAUAACGGUAUUUUUUUGCAGUACGCUGGUUGAAGAAUAGCGUCGGGAAGACUAUAGCUGUUGUGAACCAAUUUCCGUUCUUCUGCUACAAGAGCUCGGAGAUCAGAAGUAUGUGGAGGUGUAACAGGCACUCUUCCUACUGCAGAGCCCGGUUCACGAUCUACAAUGGUACUAUGGUGCGAGCUCAGUUGAUCCACAACCAUGUACCAGCGCAAUAUGUUAUUAGAAACAACGUUUAUAUUAAAAUAUAAACAUCCCUCUUAAAAGACCCAAAAAUACGACUCGUAAGUCAAUGACCUUUAAUUUUGAUGUUUGUGGUUGAUUGAAAGACCAAUGCGGCAAGUGUUAGUCCCAAUCAAUCACAAAUAAAAUGACACGUGUUUUUUAUCACAUUCCAAGCACACAGAUACGACGUUUCGCGGAUUAUCCUCUGACAAUAUUGGACGAAUGUUGCCACUUACCUUCAGGUGUGUCAUUUCACCUGUCGUAGUAGGGAAGGUUGUUACAACCGUUGCGUUUCUGCCUACCUUCUCAGGGGUAGAGGAAUGAGUGCCUGUAAGGUAAUAUAAACAGAAAAUAUAGACCUAAUGUUUUAUUAUGACUAAUUAUGUAAGUUUGUUAGAGCCACCAUUAAAAUUAAUGGUAACUAAAAUGCCUAUGGAGCUCUUUUUUACUUUUAGAAUAAAUAUUUUCAUCCGUUUAAGGGGUCGUCCAUUAAUCACGUGAGGCUCGAAAGGGGCAGAGGGGUUCGGAUAUAAUAAAAUAUCACAUGUAUUUUUCGUUGAUCGCGCGAUUUAAUCCAAAAAUUUCAAUAUACUUUGUACCAAAAAAAAUACACGUGAUUUUUUUUUGGGUUGUCUAAAAUCUCACCACGUCAACCGACGGCGAGGGAGUUAAAAAAUCACUAAAAACAUUACGUGAUUAUUACUGGACGACCCUUAACCGAUAAGAUCAAGAUUUUGUAAAACUUCACAAGUUUUUUUCAAACUUUUCGGCGUAAACCUCCUUUAAAAUCAUUCAUUUGUCGACGCAUUGCUCUUUUCAUACAGUUCGAAUUUUUUAAUCUAUCAAUAUUUAUUAAGAAUCGGACAAUGUUAUUAUACUACACUUUACUAACAUUUAAAUGCUAAAGAAAGGAAUACGUUAUAGCCUAAAUUCAGUCACUUCCUAGUCGAAUAAGUUUUGAUAAACCAUCACAUUAGUAAACGCUAAUCACUAUUUUAAAUAAACCCAUUAUUCCUCCCGAAAAUAUAAAUGAAAAGCCAAAGAGACCGACAGCGUAUUAAAAUGUAUAUAUUUGAGUUAAAUUAUGACCAAGGAAAUAAAUAAAUAUCCCAAAUUUCUUACUUUUUUAAUAUCAUUUGCUUUUUUAUGAAUUCUGAAUAUUGUGAUUUCGAUAUUUCCGAUUAUGACCAAUAUUUUAGUUUUGAAAUGUCGUGUUGUUUAUUAAAAAUGUUUGAAGGCUGUAGAAUGCGUCUUAUAUAGAUAAAUAUGGAUUGUAUGCAUCAAAGUAGGUAUGACAUCAGUUUGAAUGGAUUUUAUAAAAAAUACUUAAUAAAAGAAGAAGAAAAUAAAAAUUAAGGAUCUUG